AGCACUUUUUAGAGAGAGUUAAAGAGGACGUGAAACCGAUGAGGUGGAAACGGAUAGAGCCAGCGUAUUUGGCCUGUUUUCAACCCCUCGCGGGAAGCGCUCAUGCAGCUGGCGACCCCCGAUUGGGGCAGUUGUGCGAGUCCUCCUGGGCGCGAGGGGGGGCUUUUCAAGGGGAAGGGCCCCAAAAGCUUGGGGCAACAACGUUAACCCCGUUUUUAGGCCCGCCUGGUGGGUCCCGGGCUUGGGGGGGGGGUGUUUUUUUUUGAGUUAAAAAAGGGCAUGGCUUACGGGCCCGAUUAUGGCCGAGCUGUGGGUCGGCGGCGGUCGCUUGCGACACGUGCUGUGCCAGCAGUUCGGUCCUGGUCGAGCUCCCACAGUGCCCACUCUCGGUGUAAGAGCUGGUCAUCUCUCCGACCCGUCUUGAAACACGGACCAAGGAGUUUAUCGUGUGCGCGAGUCAUUGGGCGUUGAAAACCCAAAGGCGCAAUGAAAGUGAAGUGCCACGCAAGUGGCUGAUGUGCGAUGUUGUGUUCCAAGGCACACGACCGCAGCAUGGCCCCAUCCUGGCUGCUUGCAGCGGGGUGGAGGAAGAGCGUGCGCGAUGAGACCCGAAAGAUGGUGAACUAUUCCUGAGCAGGAUGAAGCCAGGUAGAAACUCUGGUGGAAGUCCGAAGCGAUUCUGACGUGCAAAUCGAUCGUC
rnacentral:rRNA from 1 species